GGUGACAAGGCAGCAGGAGCCUUGAGCCCACGGACGGCGCCAUGGAGCUGCGAGUGCUGCUGUUCGUGCACCUGGUGUCUCUCCUGGCCCUGCAGGCCAUGCCUGCCCAGGGUUCAGCCACAGACAGACCCAAAAGCAACAAGAGGCGACAGACUGUGGACACAACUGUCGAUGGCGUGGUCAUCCGGAGUUUGAAAGUCAACUGCAAAGUCACCUCUCGCUUCGCCCACUAUGUCAUCACCAGCCAAGUGGUCAACAGUGCCGAUGAAGCCAAGGAAGUGGCCUUUGAUGUGGAAAUCCCCAAGACGGCCUUCAUCAGCGACUUCGCCAUCACAGCAGACGGAAGCGCCUUCAUCGGAGACAUAAAGGACAAAGCCACUGCGUGGAAGCAGUACCGGAAAGCAGCCAUCUCGGGAGAGAAUGCCGGCCUUGUCAGGGCGUCAGGGAGAACGAUGGAGCAGUUCACCAUCCAUAUCACCGUGGGGCCCCGCAGCAAGGCCACCUUCCGGCUGACCUAUGAGGAGGUGCUGAAGCGCAAACUUGCCCAGUACACCAUCGACAUCAAGGUCAAGCCCAAGCAGCUCGUGCAUCACUUUGAGAUCGACGUGGACAUCUUUGAGCCCCAGGGGAUCAGCAAGCUGGAUGCCCAGGCCUCCUUCCUCCCUAAGGAACUGGAGACUCAACUCAUCAAGAAGUCCUUCUCGGGGAAGAAGGGUCAUGUGCUUUUCCGCCCCACUGUGGGCCAGCAGCAAUCCUGCCCCACGUGCUCCACAUCCUUGCUGAAUGGGGACUUCAAGGUGACCUAUGAUGUCAAUCGAGACAAGCCCUGUGACCUCCUGGUCGCCAGCAACCACUUUGCUCACUUCUUUGCCCCCCAAAACCUGACAAACCUGGACAAGAACGUGGUUUUUGUGAUUGAUAUCAGCACCUCCAUGGAAGGCCAGAAACUGAAGCAGACCAAGGAGGCGCUCCUUAAAAUCCUGGGGGACAUGCGGCCAGGCGACUACUUCAACCUGGUCCUCUUUGGGUCUGACGUGCAAUCAUGGCGGGACUCGCUGGUGCCGGCCUCUGCCGCCAAUGUGCAAGCAGCCCAGGACUUUGUGCGGCGCUUCGAUCUGGCUGGGGCCACAAACCUGAACGGAGGUUUGCUCCGGGGAAUUGAGAUCUUGAACCAAGCUCAGGGGAGCCUCCCGGAACUCAAGGACCACGCCUCAGUGCUCAUCAUGCUGACAGACGGCGAGCCCACAGAGGGGGUGACGGACCGUCCCCAAAUCCUCAAGAAUGCCCGCGACACCAUCCGGGGCAGGUUCCCGCUCUACAACUUGGGCUUUGGCCACAACCUGGACUUCAACUUCCUGGAGGUCAUGUCCAUGGAGAACAACGGACGGGCCCAGAGGAUCUACGAGGACCAUGACGCCACCCAGCAGCUGCAGGGUUUCUAUAACCAGGUAGCCAACCCGCUGCUGGUGGAUGUGGAGUUGCACUACCCCCGGGACAGCGUCUCAGCCGUGACCCAGAACCGCCAUAAACAGUACUACGAAGGCUCGGAGAUCAUGGUGGCUGGGCGCAUCGCUGACCAUAAACUGAGCAGUUUCAAGGCUGACGUGCAGGCCCGUGGAGAAGGCCAAGAGUUCAAGACCAGCUGCCUGGUGGAUGAGGAAGAGAUGAAGAAGCUGCUUCAGGAGCGGGGCCACAUGCUGGAGAACCACGUGGAGCGCCUCUGGGCCUACCUCACCAUCCAGGAGCUGCUGGCCAAGCGGAUGAAGUCCAUGGGGGACGAAAAGGCCGACCUGUCAGCCAGGGCCCUGCAGAUGUCACUGGCGUACCAGUUCGUGACCCCACUGACCUCCAUGACCAUCAGGGGCAUGGCAGACCAGGACGGCCUGGAGCCCCUCAUUGACAAGCCCCCAGAAGAUUCUCUGCCUUCAGAGAUGCUGGGAAAUAGAAGGACUUUUGUGCUCUCAGCCUUGCAGCCCUCUCCAACUCAGCCCAGCUCCAGCGUCCAGCAGUUGCCCAACCAAGUGACCGGGGUGGACACUGACCCCCACUUCAUCAUCCACGUGCCCCGGAAAGAGGACACCCUGUGCUUCAAUAUCAACGGGGAGCCUGGUGUGGUCCUCAGCCUGGUGCAGGACCCUGACACAGGCUUUUCAAUAAAUGGGCAGCUCAUCGGCAGCAAGGCCAGGAGGCCUGGGCAGCAGGAGGGCACUUACUUCGGGCGUCUGGGGAUCGCAAACCCCACAACAGGCUUCCAGCUGGAAGUGACUCCUCAGAACAUUACACUGAACCCCGGCUCGGGCGGGCCCGUGUUCUCCUGGAGGGACCAGGCUUCGCUGCGGCAGGACGAGUAACCGGGCUGGUGCCAGGGCCUGGGGGGAGGCGGGGAUGGGUGCGGUGAGGCCAAGGCGCAGAACCCCAGAGCCAGCUCUGCCGCCGGAGCCUGCUGGCCCUCGCCCCCAGAGUCGUGUGAGUAAUGUCUGUGCGGCCUCUGUGGGGACUGCAGACGUGUCAGACCCCAUGGACCACCCCACCCAUUUGCCCCAGUUCCCACCACCUGCUCCGGGCCUGGCUGCCUAGAGGCCUGCACUUCCAGGGCAUCCUCGCCCUGCAGUCCACCCCCAUCUCCACCAACAAAGCUAACUCAUCCUCCCAGCACAAAGGCCACCUCCUCCUUGAAGCCUUCCUCCUCCCUUACUCUGCUGAACUCCAUAGUUCUCUGGGCUUCGUAGUAUGGCACCAGUCUUAAUAUGGCUUGUCUCCUCUUUGUUCCUUCAUUCCCUCAUUCAUUCAUUCAACAAACUCUCCCAAGCACCGGAGCCUGAUGCCAAGCAGCAGAGCUAUAGGAAGAGGGUGGUGGUGACCAUCAAUAGGAAGAGGAACCUGGUAGUGUCCCUGGAGGAUGGGGGCACCUUCGAGGUGGUCCUGCACCGGGUGUGGAAGGGGAAUGCCGCUCAGCAGGACUUCCUCGGCUUCUACGUGCUGGAUAGUCAC